UACAGAGGUCUCAAGCGUUGUUCGGAUUCAUUGGGCGUAAAGGGUGUGUAGGUGGCGCCGUUAGUCGGGUGUGAAAUCUCGGGGCUUAACUCCGAAACUGCAUUCGAUACUGCCGUGCUUGAGGACUGGAGAGGAGACUGGAAUUUACGGUGUAGCGGUGAAAUGCGUAGAUAUCGUAAGGAAGACCAGUGGCGAAGGCGGGUCUCUGGACAGUUCCUGACGCUGAGGCACGAAGGUCAGGGGAGCAAACGGG
rnacentral:rRNA from 1 species